CCUACGGGUGGCUGCAGUGAGGAAUAUUGGUCAAUGGGCGCGAGCCUGAACCAGCCAAGUCGCGUGAGGGAGGACGGCCCUACGGGUUGUAAACCUCUUUUGCCGGGGAGCAACGGGCGUCACGUGUGGCGCCCCUGAGAGUACCCGGAGAAAAAGCAUCGGCUAACUCCGUGCCCGCAGCCGCGGUAAUACGGAGGAUGCGAGCGGUCUCCGGAUUUAUUGGGUUUAAAGGGUGCGUAGGCGGAUCGUUAAGUCAGUGGUCAAAUUGAGGGGCUCAACCCCCUCCCGGCCAUUAAACUGGCGCUCUUGAGUGGAAGAGAAGUAGGCGGAAGGCGUGGUGUAGCGGUGAAAUGCAUAGAUAUCACGCAGAACCCCGAUUGCGAAGGCAGCAUGCCGGCUUCCGACUGACGCUGAAGCACGAAAGCGUGGGGAUCGAACAGGAUUAGAUACCCGAGUAGUC
rnacentral:rRNA from 1 species